UUAAAAAAAAAAAAAAAAAAUGGACGCAGCCUUAUUUAUUUUUAUUUUAUAUAUGUAUAAUGUACCCCCUGACUGAACUUGUAUUUCUUAUUAUUUAAAAAAAUAUAUUAAAAAUAUUUUUAAAAGAACGCAGCUGUGCGUUUGAGAAACGACCGGAAACGACUUAUAUGUCGCGAGGCCAUCACGUGACCACAAUAUUUACCAGAAGACCGUUAUUUGCUCGAGUUCCCUCAACUUUUUUGUCGCAAAUAACAUUAUUAAUAACCUGUAAAUAAUAAAAAUUUUACACAUUACGUUCCUCUUCACGUUGUAAUAGUAUGUUUUUGGUUUAAUAGUCGGCUUUAAGUUAGUUUUUCUGUCAGUUUGAUCGUCAAAAUCUUGAAAGUUAUCUACAGCCACACAUCCACUGUAUACCAAGUUAUGAUGAUCAAUUAUGAGAAUGCAAAAGGAUUUAUAGAUCAGUAAACAAUCAACAAAAAGAUGGGUGCUCAUGGUGGCCUCCAAAUAAACACAUGGACAGGCUGCUAAAGAGGGUCAGGAUGAUGGAGAUGCAAGAGCCAAAGACAGCACGGACCAAACACCAGGCCAGAAUUCUGCAUGAGUCAGAUUGAGUAAUUUUCACUCUAGAGACCCUGGGGUGACCACCAAGGACGAAUGAAAACUCCAGUGAGUGUCUCUAAGGUAGAUCCUAAUGCAGAUGGAUGGAAUGUUGAUCCGCCUAACAUGCAAGAUUUUCUGUACCGAGAACUUUGGAUGACCAUCAAGACAAGCACUCGUUUUGAGUCCUGAGACCCUGGGGUGACCACCGUGAACAAAUACAGACUGCAAAAAGGCAGUCUUGACGGUUCUAGGAUGAAUGCAAAUAAAGACUGACCACCUGACUUCAGCGGUCCAGUCUCUUGUGGGAAGCAGGUGUUUGUUACCCCAAAUACGGAUGAAGAGUGACGAAGAGGAUGAUGACUU